GCUAAAUGUUUAGCUACUGCGAUGGAAGUAUUUGGAUUUGAUAACUCUUCAUAAGUUAGACCAUCACCCUAUAAUACCAUCAAUUAUUAUUUUAUACUGUUCAUUAGAAGUAGAACCCGUUUAAGAAGUGAGAAGUCCAAUUUCUAUUUACACCUUAAGACACGUGUUAAAAUUUCCCGUCUAACAAGUUUUCCCGGUGAUCUUCGUUUUCAACAAGAAGAAACUGAGAAGAAACUCCUGCAUUCGUUAAUGCCUAAUUUGAUGAAAAUAUAAAUAGAUAAUAAAUAUUUCAAUGAAAUGACGUGG